CGCACAUUGCACCUUUUGGUAUUCCGAAAGGUAUGCUUGUUCGAGCGUCGGGUUAACUAUAUCAACACUCAUUGUUGGUGUAUUGAAGGAUUUAAUUUCAUUAAACCUUCCAAAAUAAUUGAAGCGAUCUUGACUGAUUACCAUUGAACGCAUUAAGUUUUAUUUACUCGUGCAAGAAAAUCAGUGAGAGAUUUGCCAAAACCCAAAAUUUUACACAUAAACGACCUCGAAUCAAGUAGGAUUACCCGCUGAACUUAA
rnacentral:misc_RNA from 1 species